rnacentral:rRNA from 1 species
GACAGAGGGGGCAAGCGUUGCUCGGAAUUACUGGGCGUAAAGGGCGCGUAGGCGGGAUGGCAAGUCGGUCGUGAAAUCCUUCGGCUCAACCGAGGAACGUCGAUCGAUACUGCUGUUCUUGAGGGUUGCAGAGGAGACUGGAAUUCCCGGUGUAGCGGUGAAAUUUGUAGAGAUCGGGAGGAACACCAAUGGCGAAGGCAGCUCGCUGGGACGGUACUGACGCUGAGGCGCGAAAGCGUGGGGAGCAAACAGG